rnacentral:sRNA from 1 species
UGCCAAAUAGUUGUUAACAGAUGUCGC